rnacentral:rRNA from 1 species
GACGAACGCUGGCGGCGUGCUUAACACAUGCAAGUCGAACGGAAAGGCCCUGCUUUUGUGGGGUGCUCGAGUGGCGAACGGGUGAGUAACACGUGAGUAACCUGCCCUUGACUUUGGGAUAACUUCAGGAAACUGGGGCUAAUACCGGAUAGGAGCUCCUGCUGCAUGGUGGGGGUUGGAAAGUUUCGGCGGUUGGGGAUGGACUCGCGGCUUAUCAGCUUGUUGGUGGGGUAGUGGCUUACCAAGGCUUUGACGGGUAGCCGGCCUGAGAGGGUGACCGGCCACAUUGGGACUGAGAUACGGCCCAGACUCCUACGGGAGGCAGCAGUGGGGAAUAUUGCAAAAUGGGCGGAAGCCUGAUGCAGCAACGCCGCGUGCGGGAGGACGGCCUUCGGGUUGUAAACCGCUUUCGCCUGUGACGAAGCGUGAGUGACGGUAAUGGGGAAAGAAGCACCGGCUAACUACGU